rnacentral:rRNA from 1 species
AUUGAACGCUAGCGGGAUGCUUUACACAUGCAAGUCGAACGGCAGCGCGGACUUCGGUCUGGCGGCGAGUGGCGAACGGGUGAGUAAUGUAUCGGAACGUGCCCAGUAGCGGGGGAUAACUACGCGAAAGCGUAGCUAAUACCGCAUACGCCCUACGGGGGAAAGCAGGGGAUCGUAAGACCUUGCCCUAUUGGAGCGCCCGAUAUCGGAUUAGCUAGUUGGUGAGGUAACGGCUCACCAAGGCGACGAUCCGUAGCUGGUUUGAGAGGACGACCAGCCACACUGGGACUGAGACACGGCCCAGACUCCUACGGGAGGCAGCAGUGGGGAAUUUUGGGCAAUGGGGGCAACCCUGAUCCAGCCAUCCCGCGUGUGCGAUGAAGGCCUUCGGGUUGUAAAGCACUUUUGGCAGGAAAGAAACGUCGCGGGCUAAUACGCCGUGGAACUGACGGUACCUGCAGAAUAAGCACCGGCUAACUACGUG